rnacentral:misc_RNA from 1 species
GAUGAAGAACGCAGCGAAAUGCGAUACUUGGUGUGAAUUGCAGAAUCCCGUGAACCAUCGAGUCUUUGAACGCAAGUUGCGCCUCAAGCCAUUAGGUUGAGGGCACGUCUGCCUGGGCGUCACAUAUCGUUGCCUGAUGCCAGUUUCCUCGUGAUGGGUGACUGUGCAGGGCGAAUGAUGGCUUCCCGUGAGCAUUGUUGCCUCAUGGUUGGUUGAAAAUAGAGUCCUUGGUAGGGAGCGCCGUGAUAGAUGGUGGUUGAGUGACGAACGAGACCCAAUCAUGUGAGACCCCUACCGAAUUUGGCCUUCAUGACCCACGUGCGUCUUUGGAACGCUCAUGACGAGACCUCAGGUCAGGCGGGGCUACCCGCUGAGUUUAAGCAUAUCAAUAAGCGGAGGA